CCAUCUCCUACACUUACUUUCCUUCCCCGCUAAUUAUACUAGUUUGGAAACCAAACGCCCGCUUCUUAUGCUAAUUUGGAAACCUCACGCUCGUCCAUCUCCGUGAUGGCGCACCCGCACCCUCGUCCCACGCGCUAGCGCCCGCCGCCGGCCGCCCGGCGCCUCGCUGUGACGACGCACCUCGCCAUCUCGACGCUUCUCACCUCGACACCUCGCACCUCGCCGCCACGGCGCCUCCCUGCUCGCCUCGAGUGGCCGGCGCGCGGCGCACCGCGCAGGCGCGCGCGGAGCCACGGACCAGGAUGCGCCCGCGCCGACCCCUGGACGGUCGCUACGCUCGCCGGCUUGGGAGUCGAGGCCAUGCUCGUCAUCCUUGACGAUAAGGAUCCACGCCAGGUAUCUACGUGCCAAAUGCUGAAGUGCAGUUCCUCUUCACUGGUGAACAUAUAUUUUCCAAAUCUUUGUGCGGUAAUGCUUAUAUUUUUAUUUCUGUGUCAUUUCUUUUCUGCAAUAAACAUGGUAUUGCUAUUCUGUUGCACUGCAAGAUAACAAUCAGUGCGUGGAGAACUCAAUGAGAUAGAACUGCCCAAAUUUGCACCGAUUCUGGAACUAUCUAUGUUAUAGCUGGAAUUUUGUCUGCAGUAUUUAUUUGAUUCGUUACAAGGAACAAGAGUUCUUAACUGUGGACACAAGAUGCACAUGGAAUAUUUUUCUGAUAUGGUGCAGCAUAACAAAUUGAAGCAACAAUCGUGCCUCCUGUAUACCGUUACAAGAUUUGGGUGCUUUGCAAUGACUGCAACAAAGUCUCAGAAGUGAACUUCCACGUGAUUGGGCACAAGUGCAGCCACUGCAACUUGUACAAUACUCAAUCUAUAUCAAGGCAUGCAGAUUCAUCAGGAAGCAGUUCACUGGCAAAAGACUCUUCCUACAACAACAUACAAUAGAAGAACCAUACAAUAGAAGGAAUAUUCUUUUGUGGCGUGCCUUUCAACUGUUGACUCCCAGUCGUCCAUGCAUUGCCAUUUUGUGAGGAUUCAAUUCAUUAAUUGAAUCUUCGUAUGUUGGAACUUUCAGCUAUCGUCAUUGCCGUCUCUCAAGUCUUGAUCGCAGCUGUGCCUAUAGCACUUCCAUGGCAUGCUGUAGCAUUCUGCCAUGGGAGUCACGAGCUCACAUAUCGCCCAUGCACGGAUGAGGGCUCAAUGCUUUCUUCCAGAAAUCUGGGUGAAUUCAGCUUCUCAAGAUGUAGUAUUCCAAUCUCCUAAAUAUUUGGAUUGUUACAAUCAGAUGAUGUAACACAACUGCAAUGUGAAAAAGUUUGGAUACUGGUCUUAGUUAAUAAAAAAUAAUUUUAAUUCAAAGAUUCUCAUAUUGCAGUCCUAAAGAAGCUUGGCUUUGUCUGAAGCUUGAAUGGAACAAUGUUGAUGUUGUAGAGUCAAGUUCAUGCCUGACCCUCCAGCAUCAAGUACCAGUCAUCUGGUGUUGAUGGCAUGCCAGAUGCAAAGAUAAAACUUUUCAAUAGUCUAAGGUUAUAGACACAACAGUGUUCCUUUGUUUCAGUUUGGUAUAUCUGCACUGUAAUGCUCCUCAUAUUUUGUAAAAAAAAAAAAAUAUUAGGGUUGAAUCCAGAUUGCUUCCUGGUCUUAUAUUGUUAUCACUUGCUGGUUGUCUACCGUUUACGCAUGCUACCAAAAUAUCAAUCACCUGCAAACUUAUAUCUAUUUAAGUUGGAGGAUGUUACCUUUUCAGUUGCAUAAUUGCAAGAGACAGUUGCGAGUUUUUCUUCGUGUUGCAACAAGAAGGUAUACCUCAAACCAAAAUAUGUUUUCUUUCUGCUGGGUGCAAUUGGCAUGACUAUUCAGUUUCUUUGUUAGAAAAUUGAAGCAAAUGGCAAUACUAUACAAUUCUCAAGCUGUUUGAACAAUCUUAAUGUAACUGUUGCUAAUUUGUUCAUGUUUGGCCUUCACUCAAUAGACAAUUUGUAUUUACACAGUUUGCUUUUAUUUGAUAUGCAGUUUGUAGCUACAUAGCCCUUGUACAAAGAAAUUCUUAUUGCCUAAAUAAAAAGAGCCAUUCUGAUACAUGCUUGGAAACAAUGUCCAUGGUAACUAACAAUGUUUUAGCAAGGUGGGGAUCUUAAAAUAUCCAUGUUAAAGGCCUGAAUAUAUAUUAAACUUACACUUUGAUAUGAGCUGCUUGGACCCAAAACAAGGUGGCUUGGAAUGAACUGUAGGAGGUGAACAGAACAAGUGACUUUCCAGGAGAUAAGUCACUCAGACAAAGGAACAUGUGUAAGAGAUUGUUUAUUUAUGAGAGCAUCUAUUUUCUUAGAGUUUGAAAGCACAAGAAGUGCUACUAAGUGCUGAACAAUAUGGAUGUACAUAACAAUUUCUCACUCAAUUUAGAUGCAAUUUGUCCUUCUCCAAAUAAUGUUGUACAAAAUUAUGAGAUACCAUUGCCACAAUAAAAAAGUUCGUCAACGUGCUAAAACAUGUGGGAGGCAUGUAUUGAAAAGGUCAAUUGAGGUGCUCAAGUCCAAAGUAUUAAAUGUACCUUGGAAAACAAGUGUAAUCCAAAUAAUUGGUUUUAAUAUUACAUGUAGUCUCUAUAUUACUGAGGAGUUAAUAAAGUUUGUGAACUUUAAGAAAAAGACUUAAUCAAAAUGAGAUACAGUGUAGUCAAACAACAUUUUUAAGAUAUGAUAUUUUUUUUUGACUGAUGACCAUUAGUAUUUCAUUAAAACGUGAUUUAUGUGCUGUUCAUGAUUCAAGUUGGCUGUUGUGAGACAUGUUUACUGUUCUAUGUAUACAAUUAAUUUAGUUGUUGUUGAGAAGUUGAGAACUGGUGGCAUUCUGAUAUUCAAUUAUACUUAUUUCUCUUUCUGCAAUACUUAGGAUAUUUUUCAGCAUAAUCUGAUAUGUUUACUUCUUUAUGUUAUUAUAGAACCUUUGCAAAUUAUUCUGCACAAAAUAGAUACGAGUCACACACAGGGAUUCAGGAGCUGAAUCUUAACAGUUAACACACAUCUUUCUGAGAAUUUUCUUCGACAUCAUGUUUAAGCUUCCAUAGCCGAUCUAUAAUGAUAGGUUGGCACUAAUCCUUGGGAACAACAUAUGCUUGAAAAUGGACUUACAGUGCCUGUUAACACUAUAUAAGACAAUCCAUUAUUCAAUUUGGGAUAAUGAUUUUUUAAGUUAUGUUGUCAUUAUGCAUUAUUUUCUUUAAUCUGUCAGACUGAUUGCAUGUGCUCUUUACGAUGUGCUGCCGUACUGAAUUCAAUAUUUUCUAUCCAAUUCAUGCAGGAAGAGCUGGACAGCAUGGCAAAAACAUAUCCUGGUCGCUUUAAGUCUAAUAUGUCUUGAAUUAGGUUUACAUCAUUUGCUUUUUGAUUUUUAAAGAUAUUAGUGUAUAACAUUCUGGAUUUCUUGAGUAGGUACUAGCUACACAUCAAAAGCUUAUAGCAAAACAGAGGGAUAAGUAUUCCGGAGUCUCCAUUUAUCUUGGGAAUUUUUAGAAAUGACUGCAGAAUCCCUGUUAUGACUAAAACAAGGGUUGGGCUGUUGAACAGCACAUCAUGCCGAGAUAAUUGCAUGGCAGAGCUAAACAUACAUAAAGAUGGUCAAAUAAAUUAGUUUAAAUGAUUGCUGGACUAUUAAAACGUAUUAAGAUAUAAGAUUGCAGGGGUUAAAAAUAUUUUGGUUGGAUAUAUCGUAUUCGAACGUACUUCCUUUACAAUUUUGAUUUUUGGCCAAUACAAAAUAACUUUCCUUAUAAAUCCAAGUGCACAGAGUUAUACUAAGAAUUCUGACUUGCAGUGUACUACUUAGGCAUUAUCUUCAGGCUCAGCAGUAAAUUGGAUGCUUGACUGCUUGUACAUUGAGUAGCAAAGCAGGGCCUCAGACUGCAUCACUCUCAACGACACAAACACAUCACUCCUGGCAUCUGCUGCUUCUGCGCAAAACCGCCAUGGCACUGCCAAGGCAAAUAGCGCAAGACAAGUUUUCACCAAUCAAUUCUUGCUUCUGAUCAGUCACCACGUGAUGAGGUAACUUCUUUAGGGUAUCUUGUGAGAACCCUUCGGAUAAAACUUCUUCAAGGACAUCGUACAAGUCAUC